GCCGAAGGGAUUUUAACUACAAUGUUUGGUCUUUGUUUGGUUUUCAGCGUUUGAUUGUUCGGUUUUAGGGUUCAUUAAUAUGUCAGUAAUUGGCAUAGGCGUUUUUCGAAAGCAUGGACGGGGCUGUCGCAGCGAAGCAACUUGUAGCGAUUAAUGCGACACAAGAUUUCUUGCAAGUGAUUUCUUGCUUUCUGGACUAUUGGUUAACAAGAUUUGUUUUUGGAAGCUAGGAGAGGUGGCAAGCCAUAACUGUCAUACCCAGCGAACAGUUUAUGUAACAUUGUUACUGCGGGUUAUUCAGACAUUUCAAAGACGAUCUUAUAUAUGAGGUUUCAUUUGAACAUCCUGGCAAAGAACGACUCCAAUUUUUCAUCAUUUAGAACUUUGGAUUCAAAGAUGAAAGAAAUGACAAAUGCUGCCAUUAGCACGACGAAAAAUGUGACAGACAGAUCCUUUAACGUUAGCAGACGAAGAACUGUUCUCGUCGUCAGGCACUAUACUGGUUACUGAACGAUACUCAUUUGUUAUAUCUCGGACUGGCGUGUGUGUGCAUGCAUGGGAGUGUUGAGUGUGUGUGUGUGUAUUUGUGUGUGUUUGUAUUUGUGUAAGGAUUGUGUGAAGGUACAGCUGUAUUUUUGAGCUUUAUAUUAAAUAAAACUUUUUGCAGUAAACAAUUUGUCUUUGACGCCUUCAAAUGUAACUCAUUAGUAUGCUCUAUGUGGUCACUGGUACGCUCUAUAUAGAGCAUACUAAUGAAGCUACAAAACAAAAGAAAACAAUAGACUCAUUAGUAUGCUCUAUAUAGAAGAGUGCUUCAAAGCCCACACCACUUGACGAAUUAAUAUACUAUGGGAUAUAGACCACUGAAAUACUGUGUUC